rnacentral:rRNA from 1 species
CCUACGGGUGGCAGCAGUGAGGAAUAUUGGUCAAUGGACGAGAGUCUGAACCAGCCAAGUAGCGUGAAGGAUGACUGCCCCAUGGGUUGUAAACUUCUUUUAUAUGGGAAUAAAAUGUUCCACGUGUGGGAUUUUGUAUGUACCAUAUGAAUAAGGAUCGGCUAACUCCGUGCCAGCAGCCGCGGUAAUACGGAGGAUCCGAGCGUUAUCCGGAUUUAUUGGGUUUAAAGGGAGCGUAGGUGGAUUGUUAAGUCAGGUGUGAAAGUUUGCGGCUCAACCGUAAAAUUGCAGUUGAAACUGGCAGUCUGGAGUACAGUAGAGGUGGGCGGAAUUCGUGGUGUAGCGGUGAAAUGCUUAGAUAUCGCGAAGAACUCCGAUUGCGAAGGCAGUUCACUGGACGGGAUCUGACACUGAGGCUCGAAAGUGGGGGUAUCAAACAGGAUUAGAUACCCCUGUAGUC